rnacentral:lncRNA from 1 species
CGUUUAAGGUUGAUGACGGGGAUGCGUAUUAAGUAGGUCUGUAUGAUCGCACCAUUGAGGGCAUGUUUGUUUCACCGAAACUAGACUUUGGGUUGUAGUGGACUUUGAGUUGAAGAGGAGUUCGGUGAAAACUACUUCCUCCCCGCUGUUUGUUUCGUAGCUAUGGAAGUGAAGUUCCAUUAGUUCUGCUGUUUGUUUGGUAGAAAAUAUAUGAUGUAAAAGUAUAAUUUAUAUAUAAAUAAUAAAUAUUUUAAUAAAUAAAAAUAAUAUAAGUAUAUUUGUAUAUAAUUAAAAUUUAAUUUAAAAUAACUAAAUAAUUUUUUUAUACAUAAAUUAUAGUAAUACAAUAAUAAAAUUAUAAAGUAAAAAAAUAUUAAUACUUAAUUAAUCAACUUUUAUCAUAUUUUAAAUGUAUAAACUAAAUAAAGAAAAUAUUAAAACUUAACUAAUCAAUUUUUAUCAUAUUUUAGAUAUAUUAACUGAAUAAAAAAAUAAUUAGUAACAUAAUUAAGUAUAUUUAAAUAUAACUAUCUUUAUCUAUUAUAUUAUUUUAUUAUUUUUUCUUCAUCUCUCUUCACCGUAAUUGACUUCGGCUCAUGAUGGGGCGAAGUCAAUUACACUGUUUGAGGUUAACUCGAGUUGCGACCGUAACUUUUUUACGGCGAACCAAACAACGGAAGUGACCGUUUAGGGUGAAAACGACUUCCCUCCUCUCCACUUUCAUCCCACUUCCACCCAAACAAACAUGCCCUGAGAGUAGCUCCAGUUCCGU